CCUACGGGAGGCAGCAGUGGGGAAUAUUGGACAAUGGGGGCAACCCUGAUCCAGCAAUGCCGCGUGUGUGAUGAAGGCUUUAGGGUUGUAAAGCACUUUCAAUGGUGAAGAUGAUGACGGUAACCAUAGAAGAAGCCCCGGCUAACUUCGUGCCAGCAGCCGCGGUAAUAC
rnacentral:rRNA from 1 species